CUGCUGCUCCCCAGGCUCCUUUUCCCCUCGCAGUCCUCCACGCGCCUCACCUUCACGGAGUCCAACGGGUACAUGAGGGAGUGCUCCAGAAUCCCGGCCAUCGCUCCCGCUGUCAUGUGGGUGGACACCGAGGCACUAGUCGAUCCAAGUCCACCCUGUCCUGGAUUGACCAAGGCAAUAGUAGCAGGAACAGAACCCUUCACUAAACAACUGGGCAUUUUCUUUGGAUUUGUAAAGUCCUUAGCUGCUGUUACAGCAAGUAACUGAAUAAAUCUUUACAACAAAGUC